rnacentral:tRNA from 1 species
GGAUGUAGCUCACUGGUAGAGCACUUUCCUAGCAUGCAAAGGGCCCUGGGUUCAAUCCCUAGUAUCC